rnacentral:tRNA from 1 species
GCGGGUGUAGCUCAAUGGUAGAGCGUCGGCUUCCCAAGCCGAAUACGAGGGUUCGAUUCCCUUCACCCGCU